GCCUGCGUUUCGAAGUGCCACGUGGUUGACAGUCUUGCUGUUCUGUUUCCUCCUGGCACCGUAGAAUUUGUGUCACUUGGAGCUUGCUAUGCUGCGUCUCAGCUCACCACAAACGUUCCACAUCAGAAUCUGGACCUUUCCUGCAUCCCCAGUAGACAGCUGUUCCCUGGGAGUACCUGAGCUACUCCUCGUCCAAGCUGUCAGGUGUCAGCAUUAGUCAAGCCCUUCAGCUCAGCUGUGGCAUAGCUUCAAGUCAGCAGUUCUCUGGGCCACCUGUUACCACAAGCUACAUCAGGACACUCCCAAACAAUCCCUUCUUCAGUUCUUUCCUCCCCCGGCACCCCUAGCUAAAGCCCAGAGCAAUUGGAAGCAACAAAAAUUACUUGUCAAAAGUAAAUCUCUAUGAAGAAAAGCA